AGAUGUAAGAUUGGCUUUCUGAAACCCACAAACUCCCCUCCCCAAACCCCACCAAAUUCAGACUGGACGGCACUCAGCCUUACACAUAAUUGAGUUGUGCCAUUUCCCUGCAGGCUCAGGAAACUUGGGAUAUUUGGGGAACCUCAAGAAGAGAACUCACCCAGACCCACAGGUUCUGCAGAUGCAACAAUUCCUUCUGAAGUGCACUCUUGCAAGGACAAAUGCCUACCAGACCAAGUGAGACUUUGGUCUGCCUUCACAGCCCCGAGAGACCACGUCUGAGAUUCUUCGAGGAAAAUUUCAGCAGAAGCAAACUUUGAAAAGAAUAUGCAUGGUCAACUUUUGCUCGACUGCACUUAGGCACAUAGUUGAAUUAGGCCAAAUUUAAUGGGAUUGAAUUUAUCUUGUAACCAAAUUUGGUUUCCUAUGAUUAUCUUUGGUAGAAGUAAGGGUGAUUUUGGAGAGAAAUUAAAACUGAUUUCCCCCUCCCCCUAAAGUUCUGUGAAUUGAAACUUGAAAACAUCGUAUAGACUUCAGAGAAGUCAUCCCAAAAUGUAUGUUUGAAAGAGUUUGUAAAUUCAGGCUACAGGUUAGGGAAAGUCAGAUUGCUGAUAUCUGCCUUUUCUUCUACUAAAACUGCUCCAAGUCCAUGGUUGAGAGGCCCUUUCAAUUGUCUGAUCCCUCGACUUAGAAACUGAGUUUAUAGUUUGUUCCAAUUUUUUUUUUCUUUUUUGCAGAGCUGAGAAUUUAACCCAGGGCCUUGUCCCUGGCUCCGUUCCAAUCAUUAAUCUCUAUUUUCCUUUCAUUUUCAUAGAAACUUCUCUCCCUUCAGUAAAGGCACAAUGGUCUCCGUUAUCUAAUAGAUGCACUUUGCUUCCAAGUCCCAGCGAGUCGUUCACCUGCACCUUUAUGGACAAGGGUGUGGUGUUUGAAAGAGCCUAUACUGUAACAAGUGCCUAUUUCUUCAGCAACACUUGCUAGCUUGGAUUAGGAACAGUUUAAAUAGCUUGUUCUAGCUGAAUCUGGUGCUGUAUGUGUCUGAGCUGUGCAUUUGCUUACGAAUUUCCUUAAAUUCCUAAGCAGAUUUGUCUCAUUACCCCAUAGGUUUGUUUAUGGUUCUCAGGAUGGCCAUUGGAACCGGCUUCAGCAAAUCAUCCUGCAUUUCUGGAUAAACUGUUUGUAGGAGAAAGAAAAAAGCCAGAAGACAUAGGAGCACUGGCAGGGAAAAUGUUGGACAAGAAGCAGAAGAAGACCAGAAGGGACAAAGAACCGAUGGAGGAAAAAGGCGGGAAGAAGAGGAAAGAAUGAUUCUGCUAGACUAGAGAUCACAAGGCUGCCAGCCUGCAAGUGUGCCAACACUGAGAACUGUGGAGUCUUUGGUACUUCUUUACAAGCAAAUUCCUGGGCUCACCAGCGCUUACAGCUCCUUAGAGAUCAGCACCCAGAAUGGAGGAGCCCUUGAGUGAUUUCAAUAAACAUUUAACCAACACA